rnacentral:rRNA from 1 species
CGGUUGAUCCUGCCGGAGGACAUUGCUAUUGGGAUUCGAUUUAGCCAUGCUAGUCGAACGAGUUCAGACUCGUGGCGAAUAGCUCAGUAACACGUGGCCAAGCUCCCCUUCAGUCAGCGAUACCCUCGGGAAACUGAGGUUAACAGCUGAUACGAAACGCCAGCUGGAAUGCGGCGUUUCAGAAAGACAUCGCUGAAGGAUGCGGCUGCGGCCGAUUAGGUAGACGGUGGGGUAACGGCCCACUGUGCCAGUAAUCGGUACGGGUGAUGAGAGUCAGAGCCCGGAGACGGAAUCUGAGACAAGAUUCCGGGCCCUACGGGGCGCAGCAGGCGCGAAACCUUUACACUGCACGGAAGUGCGAUAGGGGAAUCCCAAGUGCGAGGGCAUAUUAGCCCUCGCUUUUCUCGACUGUAAGGUGGUCGACGAAUAAGAGCUGGGCAAGACCGGUGCCAGCCGCCGCGGUAAUACCGGCAGCUCAAGUGAUGUCCCAUAUUAUUGGGCCUAAAGCGUCCGUAGCUGGCCGACCAAGUCUACCGGGAAAUCCACCCGCCCAACGGGUGGGCGUCCGGUAGAAACUGGCCGGCUUGGAACCGGAGGGCUCAGAGAGUACGUCCGGGGUAGGAGUGAAAUCCCGUAAUCCCGGACGGACUACCGAUGGCGAAAGCACUCUGAGAAGACGGCUUCGACAGUGAGGGACGAAAGCUCGGGUCUCAAACCGGAUUAGAUACCCGGGUAGUC